rnacentral:rRNA from 1 species
GAUGAACGCUGGCGGCGUGCCUAAUACAUGCAAGUCGAGCGAACGGACGAGAAGCUUGCUUCUCUGAUGUUAGCGGCGGACGGGUGAGUAACACGUGGAUAACCUACCUAUAAGACUGGGAUAACUUCGGGAAACCGUAGCUAAUACCGGAUAAUAUUUUGAACCGCAUGGUUCAAAAGUGAAAGACGGUCUUGCUGUCACUUAUAGAUGGAUCCGCGCUGCAUUAGCUAGUUGGUAAGGUAACGGCUUACCAAGGCAACGAUGCAUAGCCGACCUGAGAGGGUGAUCGGCCACACUGGAACUGAGACACGGUCCAGACUCCUACGGGAGGCAGCAGUAGGGAAUCUUCCGCAAUGGGCGAAAGCCUGACGGAGCAAUGCCGCGUGAGUGAUGAAGGUCUUCGGAUCGUAAACCUCUGUUAUUAGGGAAGAACAUAUGUGUAAGUAACUGUGCACAUCUUGACGGUACCUAAUCAGAAAGCCACGGCUAACUACGUG